rnacentral:misc_RNA from 1 species
AAUCCAAAAGUUUGACAUCAGAGUCCACUGGGGAAAAGCUAUUCCAACUACAUAAAUUUUGAAGACAUCUAGCCUUAAGGGAGUACUUUGGAGUAGAUAUUUCAACAAAACAUCUUCAAUUUCACUCCUUCCAAACACAUCAAGAUUUUUCCAAGAGAAUCCAACUGAUGUAGUCCUUCAUACUUUCAGGCAUAACUAAGUUUAGUUCAAAAGGUCGAUCAUCCAUUCUAAAACUCCGCACAGUCAAACACAACCACAUACAUUGGUA